rnacentral:sRNA from 1 species
CCUGGAUUGACCCCUCUCCAUCCUCUCUUCCACCAGGCGCCUAGAUGCCAACCUCAUCUCCCUGGUCCCGGAGAGGAGCUUUGAGGGGCUGUCCUCCCUCCGCCACCUCUGGCUGGACGACAAUGCACUCACGGAGAUCCCUGUCAGGGCCCUCAACAACCUCCCUGCCCUGCAGGCCAUGACCCUGGCUCUCAACCGCAUCAGCCACAUCCCCGACUACGCCUUCCAGAAUCUCACCAGCCUUGUGGUGCUGCAUUUGCAUAACAACCGCAUCCAGCAUCUGGGGACCCACAGCUUCGAGGGGCUGCACAAUCUGGAGACACUAGACCUGAAUUAUAACGAGCUGCAGGAGUUCCCCGUGGCCAUCCGGACCCUGGGCAGACUGCAGGAACUGUUCAAGCAAUUCUCCUGCCUCAGCCUCCCGAGUUGCUGGGACUACAGGCACACGCCACCAUGCCCAGGGGGUUCCAUAACAACAACAUCAAGGCCAUCCCAGAAAAGGCCUUCAUGGGGAACCCUCUGCUACAGACGAUACACUUUUAUGAUAACCCAAUCCAGUUUGUGGGAAGAUCGGCAUUCCAGUACCUGCCUAAACUCCACACACUAUCUCUGAACGGUGCCAUGGACAUCCAGGAGUUUCCAGAUCUCAAAGGCACCACCAGCCUGGAGAUCCUGACCCUGACCCGCGCAGGCAUCCGGCUGCUCCCAUCGGGGAUGUGCCAACAGCUGCCCAGGCUCCGAGUCCUGGAACUGUCUCACAAUCAAAUUGAGGAGCUACCCAGCCUGCACAGGUGUCAGAAAUUGGAGGAAAUUGGCCUCCAACACAACCACAUCUGGGAAAUUGGAGCUGACACCUUCAGCCAGCU